rnacentral:lncRNA from 1 species
AGAUGGAAAAAAGAAGAUAAAAAAUGAAAUGAAAAGCUGGGGUCUCCUUCGUACAGCGAAGGGUCCCAUUGCGGGUCACGGAAUGCUCGACCAUCCGAGGAUCGCGCACCUCGCAAGUCAAAUUUCUUGGCUCGCCCUCAAGCUCUUCUAGAAACCAACCAAAUCGACGAAGAUGCUACAGUUCAAACUCCAUCGACAUCCACAGCAUCAACGGGCAUGUACCUUCUCAGUAAAAAAAGAAAGUUUUGCUGAACCUGAGCAGGGCUCAAGGGAGAAAUGACAGAGGGAAGAAUCCAUAAAGGGUGGGACUCCCCACUUCACACUCCCGUAUUCCCUCUUCUCCGAGAAGAAAAAUAUUUGGAGGGAUUUUGGGGAGAUGUUGGGCAUGUGGGUAUCUGCGCUUCAAAACAAGGAAGGAAGUCCUGUUAAUCCACCUAGGUUAUCGGACAGGCGGGCGGCCCCAACAUGAGAGGUCAAACUCUCUGCUGCUUAGUGAGGUUACCCCAACGGUAAAAAGAAAGUUUUGUGACAUGGCAACGCCAUGUGAUUAAAUAAAUUGAGAACAGAAAUAUUAAUUUUGCAAAUCAAACAAAAUUGGGGGCUUGAAAGCACAGAGAUUAAAAAAAAAAGCACAAAGAUAAUACGCAAACCCAAUUGCAAGAUUCGAGCAAAUUGGGAGACUUGCAAUUGUACUUAGCCCUUCAAGAGUUUAGCUUCGUCUACCUGAUUAUGUAAUUAGGUCGAGUUGAGCUGACAUGGUUGUGACGGUGAAAUUAUCAAGAAACUAAUUCAAUCAUAAAUUUUUAAAUUUGGAUAAUUGAGUCUUACAUCUUUCCAUGAUUUGCCUAC